rnacentral:piRNA from 4 species
UUCAGUGGUAGAAUUCUCGCCUGCCA